rnacentral:rRNA from 1 species
GAUGAACGCUGACAGAAUGCUUAACACAUGCAAGUCAACUGUGGCGGACGGGUGAGUAACGCGUAAAGAACUUGCCUCACAGCUAGGGACAACAUUUGGAAACGAAUGCUAAUACCUGAUACUGUGAGAGAGCUUUGCGUCCCAUUAGCUAGUUGGAGAGGUAACGGCUCACCAAGGCGAGGAUGGGUAGCCGGCCUGAGAGGGUGAUCGGCCACAAGGGGACUGAGAAGCGGCCCUUACUGCUACGGGAGGAAGGAGUGGGGAAUAUUGGAAAAUGGACCAAAGUCUGAUCCAGGAAUUCGGUGUGCAAGAUGAAGUUUUAGGAAUGUAAAGUGCUUUCAGUUGGGAAGCGGUACCAACAGAAGAAGUGACGGCUAAAUACGUGCCAGCAGCCGCGGUAAUUC